rnacentral:rRNA from 1 species
AUUGAACGCUGGCGGCAGGCUUAACACAUGCAAGUCGAGCGAGAGCCUCGGAGCUUGCUCCGAGGGGACAGUGGCGAACGGGGUGAGUAACACGUGAGGAACCUGCCCCGAAGACCGGAAUAACACCGGGAAACCGGUGCUAAUACCGGAUGCCCUCACCGGACCGCAUGGUCUGGUGAGGAAAUGGAUUCCGCUUCGGGAUGGCCUCGCGGCCUAUCAGCUUGUUGGUGGGGUAACGGCCUACCAAGGCUUCGACGGGUAGCUGGUCUGAGAGGAUGUCCAGCCACACUGGGACUGAGACACGGCCCAGACUCCUACGGGAGGCAGCAGUGGGGAAUCUUGCGCAAUGGACGAAAGUCUGACGCAGCGAUGCCGCGUGCGGGAUGAAGGCCCUCGGGUUGUAAACCGCUUUCAGCAGGGACGAAAUUGACGGUACCUGCAGAAGAAGCCCCGGCCAACUUCGUGCCAGCCGCCGCAGUAAUAC